CCGGGGCAGACGAGUCGAGCUUGUUCCGACGAUGAGGAGAGAAAGAGAAAGAUUCGCUCCAACGAUUCAGGUGAAAUUAAGAGAUUCACGCGAGAAACACACGCGCGGGUUCGUGAGGGGUGACGGCUGAUCUGUGUUCGCAGGGCCGGACCGUGCGGGGAUGAGCGGGGUGCCAUGCAGAGGAGACACAGCAGCAACACGGAUGGCAUGCCCUCUGAAAGGAGCCGAAGCCAAACUCUAGGAUCAGAGAGCAGCCUUGAUGAGGGUGGUGUCUUUGACUGCCUGAAGCCCGACUCAGCUGCCUCACCCCAGCAAAUGUUCUCUGGCCUUGUGGGUGUUCCCUCCGGUUCCGUCUCCUCCGCCCAGUUCCAGGCAGCCGGCUUAGUCCUGGGCUCUCCCCCUGAAGUUUUUAUCCAGAUGACUGCAUCAUCCAGAGAAGAAGGGGGCCCCCACCGCUCUGAGGGUGGACCUUUUCUCCCUCGUCCGCCGCCGCACCACCAUCACCACCACCAUCACCACUUCCACCACCAGCCCCUGCAGCACAGGACAUCCUCUCUGCUCCAGCAGGCCACCACGACGGCCGGCUCGGAGAGGCAUGGCUCCAGGGAGGAGGGCCAGGAAGACCCGUCCACGCCGGCCCCAGCCCUGUCUGAGCUGAAGGCAGUGGUCACCUGGCUGCAGAGGGGUUUCCCCUUCAUCCUCAUCCUGCUGGCUAAAGUCUGCUUUCAGCAUAAGCUCGGUAUUGCUGUGUGCUUGGGAAUGGCCAGUACAUUCGCUUAUGCCAACUCCACAUUCAGGCACCAGGUGUCAUUACGGGAGGAACGUUCUGUUUUUGUUGCUCUUUGGAUCUUGAUGUUCCUUGCAGGGAAUAUAUUCUACAUCUACUACACAUUUAGUCACGAGGAGCUGCACAACAGCCUUAUAUUUGCCAAGCCCAACCUCAGCAGCUUUGACUUCUUCGACCUGAUCUGGGCCGUGGGCAUCACUGACUUUGUCCUGAAAUAUUUCACCAUCAGCCUGAAAUGCUUCAUUCUCUUUUUGCCCAAGAUUCUUCUGGCGUUCAAAUCCAGGGGUAAGUUCUACCUGCUGAUCGAGGACCUGAGCCAGCUGUUCAGGGCGCUGGUGCCCAUCCAGCUGUGGUACAAGUACAUCAUGGGGGAAGACCCGUCUAACAGCUACUUCCUGGGAGCCACGCUCAUCAUCAUCUACAGCCUCUGCAAGUCCUUUGACAUCUGCGGACGUGUAUCAGCCAUAUGUAAAGCCUUGGCUGUGCUUUGCAGCUCCCAGAGUUAUGGAGUGAGGGCCGGCAGUCAGCAGUGCAGCGAGGCGGGUGAUGUCUGUGCCAUUUGUCAGGCUGAUUUCAGAGACCCCGUCGCUCUUCUCUGUCAGCACGUGUUCUGUGAGGAGUGCCUGUGCUUGUGGUUCGACCGGGAGAGAACGUGUCCGCUGUGUCGCUCCACCGUCAUUGAGACCAUGCGAUGCUGGAAGGACGGCACCACCUCGGCUCACUUCCAGAUAUACUGAGCCGUGACCGCAGGACGAUUUGCUCCCGCAAAGAUGCAACUGUGCUGCAACACAAGUUAAAGAUGGUGUGUCGUGUUUUUCUGUUUUGGUAAUUCUUGAAAUCAGGUUUUAGCACAAUUGGAGUAACACACACUGCAUGUGGUCGUUUUUAAUCUUGGAGCCAAGUUGAGCUUCAUAAGAAGCUGCUGUUAGGAGCCACAUGCAUUAACAAAGCUGUUGACCAUUUUGCGGUUGUGGCAAUAGUCCCAUUUAUGUGUACAUGCUGAUUUAGCCUCUGUUGUACAUUUAUUUUACACAGGAUUGAGUGUGGUGAUAAUGUAAAUAAUCCCAGCAAUCAGAUUUUUUUGUUUUUCUUUUUGAUUUUGUCACAUAUGUAUCGUGCCUGUAAAACCUUCUUUUUUAAUUUUUUUUGUUUGCUAUUUAAUUUAAAGGUUAGAGAUAUUUAUUUGAACAAAGAGAAAUGUCCCACAAAAUAUUGCAAGUAGAAAACAACAUCAAACAUUUGUUCUGUCUGUAGAUUGAAGCUAAAAAAAACCUUGAGGUUUUUUAGAUAAGGUGUAAUGAACAUUAGAUGGUGUGUGAUUUCCAAAUAUGUUCACAUUUUCAUUUAUCAGUGUUCAUGUCUGCAUCUGUGGGUACUCUUAACAUGAGUCAUUUCCUUUAGAAUAAUGUGAACCUGUUUUGAAUUAAAGCACUUUAGCUCGCUGUAUCAAGCACACUUCUUAUCUAACUGUAAUGACACCAGCUCAGAACUUAUUUCAGAAAGAGUUUUAUUAUUUGUAACUACUUAAAAAUCCAUAUGAAAUAUUUAAGAAGUAUAAAUAACACACACAUUAUAAAAGACAUUACACGUUAUAUCAGAGAAAGCUUAUUUCCAGAAAUCACAGACAGCAUCAACAGUAUAGCUUCCAAUGCACAGGUCCUUUAUCAUCAAUUAUUAUCAAAGCCACUUAACACUGCCCCCAACGGAUAUAACAUCAUGUAAACACUGUAGAAAACACCCAUAAAAACAUUCAUCGUCUCAUGUUAUUUACAUUUGCACUUACAGUAUAGCUUAUGUAAAAAGUACAGUGCACGAUGAAGCUCGGGUCUAUUUCGGUGCAUUUAUUGUCAGCAUUGCACUAAUUUUAGCUUUAGAUACACUUGAAUCAGUUCAAACCCUUUCGUGGUUAAUGCAUCGACGCCGUGGGAGAAAGCAUUCGCAGCAGUCCUAUUAGUAAGCUUUUCCCUCCACUCUACCAGGGGAGGAUUACAUCACUGUUUUGUAACCUGCAGGAUGACAGAAUGGGAGAGAGGCGCAGGGGGCAGGACGUGCAGCUCACUGACUGACUGCAGGGCUUCAGUGUGUCAGCUCCUUAUGAGACUCUUAGUGCUUCCACAUUGGACCUGAGUGUCUCCUCGCGACCAGCAGCACGAGCACGGUCAGGUGCAGGGCCGUGCACAGGAAGCUCCUCAGGUGGCCGCGCCCGGACACAUGAACCACCUCCGCCCCGGUUCUGUCCCCGGCUCUGUCCCCGGCUCUGUCCCCGCAGCCGCCGGCCGCCCUGCCCUUCUCCAGCUGGUCCCCGAUCCUCCGCAGGCGCGACGCCAGCAGCUGCGCCACCGAGCAGGGCGUCGGUGUGCGGCCGCUGAGGGUGCAGUGCCCGGGCAGCAGCAGAGGCUGGUCUGUGGGCAGCCAGCACAUCCUGUCUCCUCUGUCUCUCUCUCAGAAUAUCAGUCUGAACAAGCCUCGUUCUCCUCUCUCAUCAAACCUCAACUGUGAUUCUAUCCCCCCCUUUCUCUCCCUUUCUCUCUGUCCCUCUCCCUCCUGUAUUAUUCAUUACAGUGUCACGUGAUGUGGGGUUUACAUCAUCUUUUCCCAAAAGAGACAUGUGAUGGUUAACUGUUGGAUCUGAUCUGAGUCUUUUGUUAUGAGCGGGGACAUUGUCUCCUCUCUUUGUCUGCUUUAUUUAUUUAUUAUUGUCCAACAUGACUCCACGUGCACACAUCUGCAUGAAACAAAUAAAUAUCUGAAUGUAUUUUCACAGAAAUCAC